rnacentral:ncRNA from 1 species
GAUCCGUUGCCGGACGGAUCACAGGACACCGGCGGAGCCUUCCGCAGCCGAGUUCAGCGGCCUGGUGUCCGCCACCGCUCCAUCGGAGCAGGGCGUAUUCGCCCCAUGUGGCUUCGUACUGACC